rnacentral:snRNA from 1 species
UAUUCUGGUUUCUCUUCAGCUCAUAUAAAUCUGUCAUCUUU